CGUGAACUCAGGUCUUUGGGCAGCAGCAGUAACUCGAAGUUGCACAGCUUCCCGAGCAAAAGACCAAAGCCAAGCUCCACAGAGGGUGGCAGACCCUCCAUCACACUGAUCCACCCACAGAAUUCUGCCCAGUUACCGUUGAUCCACCAGCCACAACAAGCCUCGCGGUACACAGCAACAUUACAUCUGGAAUUCCAUCCGGUUUUCUGAGGCCUCAUCCUGUCUUUGGAAUUAACAGACCACUCUUAGGAAUGUGUCCUGUGCCAAGGUCUGGACGUCAGGAAACUUGGACCCGUUCCUGGAGCAGAGAAUCGAGUAACUUUCUCAAGGGCACGUUGACUCUCUGUAUGUUUCUGCGAGUAUCAGCGAGGUUCAGUAGGUAUCAUGAAUGUCUUUGGAGCCUUGUAUGCUCUAGAGAUGUCUCCAUGCCGAUAUUCUGCACUGUAGCAGAACAACUUUCAUCAAUGUGUUCGCACAUCUCCUCAA